rnacentral:lncRNA from 1 species
AAGUAGUAUCCUCUCUUGAUGCUCCUCGUCUCCCUCCACUGAGUACUCCCUUCCUCUCCUCAUUCUCAUCUCAGUCCUCUCCUCCUCCCUCGAAUAAGAUAGAUCCGCCCUUGUUGCUGAUCUCAUCUCGCCUCCUAUUGGCCUCGCCCCUGCCAACUGACUGCUCUAUUGGUGACCGUGGACUUUUUGGGUAUAUAUAUUUCCUGUCGAUUUGUUUCCACUUAAAGUAGCAAUGCUUGGAUCUAAAACUUAUUACUUCUCCUGCUUCAGAUUCUGAUCCAUUUGUGUUGAUUGAACUCAGGGUGGGAUCGUGGGGCUCUGUAUCUAUCUAGGAUGGAGAUUCCAAGCAAUUUACUCUCUUGAGUGCUGUUGGUCUUCCUCUGCUCCUCGUCUCCGCUUCCUCUCAGUCUCCUCCAUUGCGCUGCCUGGAACAGAUCGAUCCGCCUUGUUGCUGAUCUCAUCCAUCCUCCGUGGAGAUUUCGGGUGGCAGUUUCCAGUGACUAUUCAGAGCACCAUACUAGUGGCCUGGUAAAAAUUUCCCUCCCAUCUUUCUUGCUAUUCUCUUCUUAUUAAUCUGCUGAUUUGCUUGAUGGUAAGUUCUUACUUAUUCUUCCAGAUCGAGUGAAGCGACAUCCGCCGCCGUCUUGUCCCCUACGACGCCGCUGUGUUCUGCUCUGUCCUCCUCUGCCGGUGAAGCAUCAACGGUGACGGCCAUCCGGUGUUGACGCCGCGGCUGUGUUCUCCUCUGCCGUGAAGUAUCAAAGGUGGGUUUGGAUGGAUAUCACAGUUUGGAUUGGCAACUCUGUUCUAUAGCUCGUUGAAAUUAAAGCUUCACACAGUUUUGAUUGGAUUACAGCUCCCCAUAUUCAUCUAUUUUGCACCAUGCAUCGAAUCCACUGACCUCCACACGCUCACGGAUCUGGCCUCUGGUGCCCACACGCUCACGGAUCCGACAGAGUGCUCCCUUCCUCUCAUCUCAGUCCUCAUCUCCUGGUCGAUCCGGCUUCUUGUUUGGUGAGCUCGUCCAACCUCCGAGCUCGCCCCUGACACCUGUGGAGUGGAGGUAUAUUUCUUUCCAGCUGAAGUACGCUUGGAUCUAAAAACUUACGUCUCCUGCUUCACUGCUUGCUUGGGAGUCUGAUCGAUUUGUGUUGGUUGAAUCAUUUGGGGUGGCAGUGGAGCAGCUAGCAAGAAUCAUGGAGUUUCCAAUCAUUAUUCAGAGCACCACGCAUGGAAUCCACUGACCUGGUAACUUUGUCUCAUCUUUCUUGCUACUGAAAUCUUCCACAUCCCCACCUUCCUUGUUCAUCUGCUGAUUUCCCAGAUUAUACUUCCAGAUUGAGUGAAGCGCCGUCUUGUCCCCUCACGGAUCUGGCCUCUGGUGCCCAGCCGCCGCUUUCGCUUCGUUGUCCGACGAGGCCACCGCCGCUGUGUUCUGCUCUGCCGUGAAGCACAAAAGGUGGGGUCUUCCUCUGCUCUUUCUCCACUGACGGCGCUCCGACCUUGACACCCGUGGCCGUGGAGCUGCUGUUUUUUUACCAGUUAUUGGAUAUAAAAAGGGAGUUCUCAUGCUUGAAAGUCUGAUUUGUGUUGCCUGAUUCCAGGGUGUCAGUGGAACAGCAAGCAAGAACCGUGGAGUUUCCUGUCAUUCAGAGCACCAUGCCUCAAAUUCACUGACCCGUCUAGCUGCCUGGUAAAUUUAACUCAUCUUUCUUACUAUUCUGCUCUACUGAAAUGUUUCACUAUUCUGCCAACUGUUCUUGGGUAUAUUUCCUCUCGAAUUGUUUCUAGUUAAAGUAGCAAUGCUUGGAUCUAAAAGUUAUUACUUCUCCUGCUUGAGAUUCUGACCGAUUUGUGUUGAUUGAAUCCAGGGUGGGGUCGUGGGGCUCUGUAUCUAUCUAGUACGGAGUACCACUGUAUUCCAAGCAAUUUACUCUCUUGACUGCUGUUGGACUUUCUCUGUCCCCGCUUCCAUUGUGCUGCCUUGAACAGAUCCAUCCACCUUGUUGCUAAUCUCAUCCAACCUCCGGGUAUGUUUCUUGUCGAUUUGUUUCCAGUAAACUAGCAAUGCUUGGGUCUAAAAAGUCAUUGCUUCU